UCUGUUUUCUCUAGAGGGUUAUACAUAACGGCAGCGAGCGCUCACACCUGGAACGAAAAAUUCAAGACUGGGCAUGUGGACUGGAAUAUAUGAUUUUCCCAAGUCUGCAUUUAGAAGAGUGAACUGCCAGAACAUCUGCGCUUGUUUUGGACAAGAGACUAAAGUGCAUCAACUCUGACGCUACUCAUAUUUCAAGAUGUCAUAAAGUUUCAAAUAGCUACUUAAGUAGAAACCACAAGGCACCGCCAAUAACCCAGCACAAAAAUACUUCCUUUCCAUGCUUGAGACAGAAUGUCAUUCCAAAACUAUACUGACCAGAGAUCCAAGAUGGGGAAAUGGAGUCAUGGCAAAACAGCAUUGAAGUCUGAUCACUCAAGCUCUCAGAAGGAUACCAGUCAAGACAAAAGUUUUUCUAUGGCUAACAGCAAGCUAAACAAAGGCCCUGUCCCUGGAGCCAAAAGAAUCCCCAUGUGUUGUUAG
rnacentral:lncRNA from 1 species